rnacentral:rRNA from 1 species
UACGUAGGGUGCAAGCGUUAAUCGGAAUUACUGGGCGUAAAGCGUGCGCAGGCGGUUAUGCAAGACAGAUGUGAAAUCCCCGGGCUCAACCUGGGAACUGCAUUUGUGACUGCAUAGCUAGAGUACGGUAGAGGGGGAUGGAAUUCCGCGUGUAGCAGUGAAAUGCGUAGAUAUGCGGAGGAACACCGAUGGCGAAGGCAAGCCCCUGGACCUGUACUGACGCUCAUGCACGAAAGCGUGGGGAGCAAACAGG